UCGAGCGGACAGAUGGGAGCUUGCUCCCUGAUGUUAGCGGCGGACGGGUGAGUAACACGUGGGUAACCUGCCUGUAAGACUGGGAUAACUCCGGGAAACCGGGGCUAAUACCGGAUGCUUGUUUGAACCGCAUGGUUCAAACAUAAAAGGUGGCUUCGGCUACCACUUACAGAUGGACCCGCGGCGCAUUAGCUAGUUGGUGAGGUAAUGGCUCACCAAGGCAACGAUGCGUAGCCGACCUGAGAGGGUGAUCGGCCACACUGGGACUGAGACACGGCCCAGACUCCUACGGGAGGCAGCAGUAGGGAAUCUUCCGCAAUGGACGAAAGUCUGACGGAGCAACGCCGCGUGAGUGAUGAAGGUUUUCGGAUCGUAAAGCUCUGUUGUUAGGGAAGAACAAGUACCGUUCGAAUAGGGCGGUACCUUGACGGUACCUAACCAGAAAGCCACGGCUAACUACGUGCCAGCAGCCGCGGUAAUACGUAGGUGGCAAGCGUUGUCCGGAAUUAUUGGGCGUAAAGGGCUCGCAGGCGGUUUCUUAAGUCUGAUGUGAAAGCCCCCGGCUCAACCGGGGAGGGUCAUUGGAAACUGGGGAACUUGAGUGCAGAAGAGGAGAGUGGAAUUUCCACGUGUAGCGGUGAAAUGCGUAGAGAUGUGGAGGAACACCAGUGGCGAAGGCGACUCUCUGGUCUGUAACUGACGCUGAGGAGCGAAAGCGUGGGGAGCGAACAGGAUUAGAUACCCUGGUAGUCCACGCCGUAAACGAUGAGUGCUAAGUGUUAGGGGGUUUCCGCCCCUUAGUGCUGCAGCUAACGCAUUAAGCACUCCGCCUGGGGAGUACGGUCGCAAGACUGAAACUCAAAGGAAUUGACGGGGGCCCGCACAAGCGGUGGAGCAUGUGGUUUAAUUUGAAGCAACGCGAAGAACCUUACCAGGUCUUGACAUCCUCUGACAAUCCUAGAGAUAGGACGUCCCCUUCGGGGGCAGAGUGACAGGUGGUGCAUGGUUGUCGUCAGCUCGUGUCGUGAGAUGUUGGGUUAAGUCCCGCAACGAGCGCAACCCUUGAUCUUAGUUGCCAGCAUUCAGUUGGGCACUCUAAGGUGACUGCCGGUGACAAACCGGAGGAAGGUGGGGAUGACGUCAAAUCAUCAUGCCCCUUAUGACCUGGGCUACACACGUGCUACAAUGGACAGAACAAAGGGCAGCGAAACCGCGAGGUUAAGCCAAUCCCACAAAUCUGUUCUCAGUUCGGAUCGCAGUCUGCAACUCGACUGCGUGAAGCUGGAAUCGCUAGUAAUCGCGGAUCAGCAUGCCGCGGUGAAUACGUUCCCGGGCCUUGUACACACCGCCCGUCACACCACGAGAGUUUGUAACACCCGAAGUCGGUGAGGUAACCUUUUAGGAGCCAGCCGCCGAAGGUGGGACAG
rnacentral:rRNA from 1 species